rnacentral:rRNA from 1 species
UGGGGAAUUUUGGACAAUGGGCGAAAGCCUGAUCCAGCAAUGCCGCGUGUGCGAAGAAGGCCUUCGGGUUGUAAAGCACUUUUGUCCGGAAAGAAAUCCGCCUGGCCAAUACCCGGGCGGGAUGACGGUACCGGAAGAAUAAGCACCGGCUAACUACGUGCCAGCAGCCGCGGUAAUACGUAGGGUGCGAGCGUUAAUCGGAAUUACUGGGCGCAAAGCGUGCGCAGGCGGCUUUGUAAGACAGAUGUGAAAUCCCCGGGCUCAACCUGGGAACUGCAUUCGUGACUGCAAGGCUAGAGUGCGUCAGAGGGAGGUGGAAUUCCGCGUGUAGCAGUGUAAUGCGUAGAGAUGCGGAGGAACACCGAUGGCGAAGGCAGCCUCCUGGGAUGACACUGACGCUCAUGCACGAAAGCGUGGGGAGCAAACA